UGAAUCCGCGCGGGAGAGUUCCCAGCCGUACGUCUGUGCCGCUGGGGCGCCGAAGGAGCAAGUCCCUCCCUUGAAUCUCUCAGGCCCCGUUACCGCGCGGGCGAG
rnacentral:ncRNA from 2 species